UACAGAGGGGGCAAGCGUUGUUCGGAAUUACUGGGCGUAAAGGGCGCGUAGGCGCCUUCUAAGUCGAACGUGAAAUCCCCGGGCUCAACCCGGGAACUGCGUCCGAGACUGGAAGGCUCGAAUCCGGGAGAGGGAUGUGGAAUUCCAGGUGUAGCGGUGAAAUGCGUAGAUAUCUGGAGGAACAUCGGUGGCGAAGGCGGCAUCCUGGACCGGUAUUGACGCUGAGGCGCGAAAGCCAGGGGAGCAAACGGG
rnacentral:rRNA from 1 species